GAUACCCGCUGAACUUAAGCAUAUCAAUAAGCGGAGGAAAAGAAACCAACCGGGAUUGCCUCAGUAACGGCGAGUGAAGCGGCAAGAGCUCAAAUUUGAAAGCUGGCCCCUCCGGGGUCCGCGUUGUAAUUUGCAGAGGAUGCUUUGGGUGCGGCCCCCGUCUAAGUGCCCUGGAACGGGCCGUCAGAGAGGGUGAGAAUCCCGUCUUGGGCGGGGUGUCCGUGCCCGUGUAAAGCUCCUUCGACGAGUCGAGUUGUUUGGGAAUGCAGCUCUAAAUGGGUGGUAAAUUUCAUCUAAAGCUAAAUACUGGCCGGAGACCGAUAGCGCACAAGUAGAGUGAUCGAAAGAUGAAAAGCACUUUGAAAAGAGAGUUAAACAGCACGUGAAAUUGUUGAAAGGGAAGCGCUUGCGACCAGACUCGCCCUCGGGGUUCAGCCGGCACUCGUGCCGGUGUACUUCCCCGGGGGCGGGCCAGCGUCAGCUUGGGCGGCCGGUCAAAGGCCUCCGGAAUGUAGUGCCCCCCGGGGCACCUUAUAGCCGGAGGUGCAAUGCGGCCAGCCUGGGCUGAGGAACGCGCUUCGGCACGGACGCUGGCAUAAUGGUCGCAAACGACC
rnacentral:rRNA from 1 species